CGUGAACCGUGCGCCUAGGUGGUGAUUGUCGUCAUUGUUUUAGGUUGUCCGGGUGGUCGUUAUGGUGCCCGAGGCCCUUUGUGGCUGCGUUGUUUGUGUUUUGUGUUGGUGGUUUAGGGAGGCAGUUGUUGUCUAACCUAUGUCUCUGAUGGUUGCGAAACCCGUGUAUGUAUGUGUACGUGUGAUUAUGCUCCUUGUGGGCUGUGUCUCGGAUCGCUGCCUUCUGGUG